rnacentral:ncRNA from 2 species
UUAUUUUUCCAUGCAUCAGGUGAGCCGCUCCAUUCCGGGGCCGCUUUAAACGGGAAAGCGGUGCGUUUCAAAACGAAACCAAGCCGCUGCUGCCCCCGCAACGGUAAGCAAGUGUGGCUGCAUCAACCAUGUCACUGGCCGCAAGGCUGGGAAGACGGUGCGGCAAGUCUUGCGAGCCCGGAUACCGGCCUGAUGAUCUUAAGCGAA